AUUCAGGGUAAGUUCGAUUAAAAUCGCUACAUCACGUAGCAACAUCGAACCAACCCACGUCGUGUGGG
rfam:Pontibacillus yanchengensis Y32 contig6, whole genome shotgun sequence.